rnacentral:tRNA from 1 species
GCCCGGGUGGCGAAAUUGGUAGACGCAAGGGACUUAAAAUCCCUCGGCCGCAAGGCUGUGCCGGUUCGAGUCCGGCCCCGGGCACCA